CCCAAACCCAUUCAAUUUGCGCCAUCUGAAAAAUCGCCGUUGUCUUUGUCCAGGCCGACCACCUGCUGCGCAAACAUCAGAAGCUCGAGCAUCUCCGUCACCGUCGGACUACUACGGCCGUCGUCAUCGCCGUCUGCUUCGAAAUUGAGGAAAUUUGAGAUAAAAUGUCUAGACGAAAAGUGCGAGAGCUAAGCAUUCUUCAAGGGACUCCAAACUCGGCGGAAACAAACAACACUGAACAACAGACUGCUAUUGGAUCUUCGAAUGUUCCGAUUACACCAGAG